rnacentral:rRNA from 1 species
UACGGGGGGGGCAAGCGUUGUUCGGAAUUACUGGGCGUAAAGGGCUCGUAGGCGGCCAACUAAGUCGGAUGUGAAAUCCCCAGGCUUAACCUGGGAACUGCGUGUGAUACUGGAUGGCUUGAAUUCGGGAGAGGGAUGCAGAAUUCCAGGUGUAGCGGUGAAAUGCGUAGAUAUCUGGAGGAAUACCGGUGGCGAAGGCGGCAUCCUGGACCGACAUUGACGCUGAACGGCGAAAGCUAGGGGAGCAAACGGG